rnacentral:piRNA from 1 species
UGAUCUUUUAAAUAGCAUUUAGAUUGGGAA